CGACCCCGGUGUCGCCGCCGGUUCCCUGGGCGCUGCGCGGUGGCGGGAGGGCUGCCCGGCCCCGGCGGCUGCUGAAGGCCGGUUCCGGGCUCCCCCCGGGCACCGCUGUCCCCCGGAGCCGCCGGUGAGCUGUGCGUUCCCUCCAGGUGACGGUGUGUCCCGCAGCCACAGCGCAGCCCCCGGUGACUCUGCCCUGGGCGCCAUCCGGCCCCCGGGGACAUGGAGGGGGCGGGCGGCAGGGGCCGGGGCGCGGUGGGGGACCUGAGGAGGAGCUGGCAGAGCUGGGCGGACGAUCACAUCCAGUACCAGCAGAAGAACCCCUUCAGCGGAGAGGCCGGGCCGGCCCCCAGGGCCCUGCCCGCUCCCCGGGGAGACCCCUCCUACGGGAGACCCCCCGAGGGGUCGCGGACCGAGCAGCGGGGAAAAGACGCUCACUCCCAGGUGGGGAAGGAGGUGGAGGAGCUGUGCAUGGUCAUCAGGAGGACGGGAGAGGUGGGAGAAGACGGACUCGUGAGCGUGACCUUCGGGCGGCUGUUCGAGACCUACGUGACCAUCUCCAACAAGGUGGUGGGGAUCCUGCUGAGAGCCAGAAAGCACGGGCUGGUUCGCUUCGAAGGUGAGAUGCUCUGGCAAGGAAAGGAUGAUGAUGUGGUCAUCACUUUGCUGGAAUAAGGCUGUCACCACACUGCUGUGGGGUUCCGUUUGGAAAAACGUACCUGGAUACCGUCUUGGAAGAGGUUUUCAGUAGGAAUGUCACCUCUGCUGCUUGCUGGGACGUGAGCAGGAGAGAAAAUGGGCAAGAAGGAUGAAAAGUAUCUCUGCAAGAAUGGCAGAGGUUUGGACAGAAGUCACCAAUAAGGAACCAACCCACCGAGCUGCUGCUAGAUUGUCCUUGCCUUGUGAUCACCCAGCACCACGUGGACAGCAGUUCCCCAGGUAACUCUGCUGCUUUGGGCUGCGGAAAGUACAAACACUGACUCUGCUGCUCCACACUGACCGUGCUGGCUGUGAGACACUCACUGGGGGCUCUGGAUUUGUAAAACACUGAAUUGAAAACUUUUAUGGGAAUUCAUAUACAUCUUCAAAAAAAAGAGCCUGGUAUGUAACAGAAGUUUAAAUUAUAUUCACAUGGUGAAACUGAGUAAAUGGAAGUUACUUUCACGCAGUAUCUGAAAACUAACAAAUUUACAGAAACAUCACAGCAAGGGUAUUUGAUAGUUCCUAAAUUGCUUACAUCUUGUGUGCAUUUCAGAGAGCUGCACUAGUGCUGGUAUUUAAUAGUCUAUUCUUAGUAUCAUAUCUUCCCCUAAUCUUCCAUCUCGUUUUUCCUCUGUAUCUCACAGUUUUUACCUGUUCUGUGCUUCUGUUGCUGCAUCGUACCCUAGAGAUCCCAAAGCCCUGCAGCCUUCUUGGUGAAUUCAGCUGAUUCCCCUUCCUGGAGGUCGGGUGCCACAAUGGAAAGAUGUGAAAGGCAAGGGACACUCUGCUCAGGGACACUCUGCCUUCCUGAAA